UGGGGAAUUUUGGACAAUGGGCGAAAGCCUGAUCCAGCAAUGCCGCGUGCAGGAAGAAUGCCUUCGGGUUGUAAACUGCUUUUAUACGGAACGAAACGGUCUUUUUUAAUACAAGGGGCUAAUGACGGUACCGUAAGAAUAAGCACCGGCUAACUACGUGCCAGCAGCCGCGGUAAUACGUAGGGUGCGAGCGUUAAUCGGAAUUACUGGGCGUAAAGCGUGCGCAGGCGGUUAUAUAAGCCAGUUGUGAAAUCCCCGGGCUCAACCUGGGAAUUGCAUCUGUUACUGUAUAGCUAGAGUACGGGAGAGGGGGAUGGAAUUCCGCGUGUAGCAGUGAAAUGCGUAGAUAUGCGGAGGAACACCGAUGGCGAAGGCAAUCCCCUGGGCCUGCACUGACGCUCGUGCACGAAAGCGUGGGGAGCAAACA
rnacentral:rRNA from 1 species